AGUGAACGCUGGCGGUAGGCCUAACACAUGCAAGUCGAACGGCAGCACAGUAAGAGCUUGCUCUUACGGGUGGCGAGUGGCGGACGGGUGAGGAAUACAUCGGAAUCUACUUUUUCGUGGGGGAUAACGUAGGGAAACUUACGCUAAUACCGCAUACGACCUACGGGUGAAAGCAGGGGAUCUUCGGACCUUGCGCGAUUGAAUGAGCCGCUGUCGGAUUAGCUAGUUGGCGGGGUAAAGGCCCACCAAGGCGACGAUCCGUAGCUGGUCUGAGAGGAUGAUCAGCCACACGGGAAGUGAGACACGGUCCAGACUCCUACGGGAGGCAGCAGUGGGGAAUAUUGGACAAUGGGCGCAAGCCUGAUCCAGCCAUACCGCGUGGGUGAAGAAGGCCUUCGGGUUGUAAAGCCCUUUUGUUGGGAAAGAAAAGCAGCAGGUUAAUACCCCGCUGUUCUGACGGUACCCAAAGAAUAAGCACCGGCUAACUUCGUG
rnacentral:rRNA from 1 species